UGACUCCCGCGGGAGAGGCAGAUACCGCGAGACUUGCACAAGCGCGCCCGAGAAGGCGGCGAGGCGGGUCCCCGGCCACGGCCGCGUUCCGCGCAUGCGCAGAGGGCUGCCCUGGCCCUUUUCCCGCGGGCUGUGGGGUUUCUAAGGGGAGGCCGGAAGAGGAGUUGCGGAGGAAAGAAGUAAUGAAGUGAAAAACACACAGGAGCUUGUUCAAGUUCAACUCUUGGAUCUGGAAAUGUGAAGUGACAAUACUGAGAAAAGUAGUGACCAUAAUCUGCUAACUUCAGCUUCGGUGGAGCCACAUUUCAAAAAGAAAGAAAGACAUGCUUACACUGCAGGAGCAGAGUGGUCUCCUUUUGGAGGACAACACGGGUCAGUAUGCCGGCAGCCCCAUAGAAACCCAGAGUCUCCUAAAAUUUGGAGCUCUUCUUCUCCGGUGCAACCCACUGCGUGCAAACUCUUUUUGCCUCACGUGGGAAAGACUCCCAUCCAUCCCACCUAAAAUUCAUUCACCCAAGGUCCCUCAAAGUCUCAGUCCUUUAGAGUAUCAAGUCUCAUCAAGUCAAAAGCCUCCUAUCUAGUAUUUAAAUCAUCUAAGUUGUGUAAGAGUGCAGCCCUGGUUAUAUUCCAUUUGGGGAAAAAUUAUCUGUGAACCUGUGACACUAGAAAGCAAGGUCUGUGUUCCAGAGCAGUAGAGGCUCUCAGCCUGUUUCCUGCCUGUAGAGUUUUAGGAGCCUGCUAGCCUUCCAUUUCAUGUCUCUCUCGCUCUCGCUCUCUCUUGCUCUCUGGCUCUCUCCUUCUCUCUCUGGCUCUCUCACUCUCCCACUCUCAUUCCAUAUAGUUUUUCUGGUGGUAGCUUCCCCAAAAACUUUGUGGGACCAUUAGAAAAUAUGCUCGGUGGGGCUGAUGUGACAGCAGGUUGAGCUGCUGCUUGUUAUGCUGGCAUCCCAUAUUGGAGCACCGAUUUGAGUCCUGGAGGCUCUGCUUUUGAUCCAGCUCCCUUCUAGUGUGCCUGGGAAAGUAGUAAAGGGUGGUUCAAGUGUUUGGACCCCAGCUACCCGUAUGGGAGGCCUGCAUGGUGCUCCUGGCUUUGGGCAGGCCCAACCCCAACUAUUGUGACUAUUUUGGGAGCCACCAGAUGGAGAUCUCUCUCUCUCUCUCUCUUUAUCUCUCUCUCUCUCACUCACUCUGCCUUUUAAAUAAAUACAUAAAUUGUUUAAAAAACAAAAGUGGCCGGCGCUGCGGCUCACUAGGCUAAUCCUCCGCCUUGCGGCGCCGGCACACCGGGUUCUAGUCCCGGUCGGGGCACCGGAUUCUGUCCCGGUUGCCCCUCUUCCAGGCCAGCUCUCUGCUGUGGCCAGGGAGUGCAGUGGAGGAUGGCCCAAGUACUUGGGCCCUGCACCCCAUGGGAGACCAGGAUAAGUACCUGGCUUCUGCCAUCGGAUCAGCGCGGUGCGCCAGCCGCAGCGUGCUGGCCAUGGCGGCCAUUGGAGGGUGAACCAACGGCAAAAGGAAGACCUUUCUCUCUGUCUCUCUCUCACUGUCCACUCUGCCUGUCAAAAAAUAAAAAAAUAAAAAAUAAAAAACAAAAGUUGCUCCUCCACGGAUCUUUCACAGAUAAGGGAAUAGUCUCAUCUCUGCUCUGGCUUAUGCUUAGAUGGCUAAGGGGACCCAUGAAUCACAUACCUCUCCAAAGCACCCUAUGUGUAUUGAGUAUUCUAAAAUUUUCUAUUUCUCAUGCACCAGGAAAAGCCUGUCUACAUUUAAAAGUAGUUAGCAUUUUUACAUUUUACAACAUUUAAAACAACAGCAAAAUCUGUAAAAGAUGCAUGUCUAGCUGCAUUGUUGGCUUUCCUCACAGUAGAUUUUUGGCAAUCUGAAGAAGCUGACAGUUUCAUAAAUCAUAAAAUUCUUUUUCCAUUUUGCAAUAAUUAUCUGUAUAUCUAUUUCACAUUUUAAAAAAAGCAACAAGAGGGCCAGCACUAUGGCACAGUGGGUUAACACCCUGGCCUGAAGCACCAGCAUCCCAUAUAGGUGCCCGUUCUAGUCCCCACUGCUCCUCUUCCAAUCCAGCUCUCUGUUAU